rnacentral:rRNA from 1 species
UACGUAGGGGGCAAGCGUUGUCCGGAAUCAUUGGGCGUAAAGAGCGUGUAGGCGGCCCGGUAAGUCCGCCGUGAAAGUCCAGGGCUCAACCCUGGAAUGCCGGUGGAAACUGCCGGGCUGGAGUCCGGAAGAGGCGAGUGGAAUUCCUGGUGUAGCGGUGAAAUGCGCAGAUAUCAGGAGGAACACCAAUGGCGAAGGCAGCUCGCUGGGACGGUACUGACGCUGAGACGCGAAAGCGUGGGAGCGAACAGG